AGAGUCUGCUAGAGGUGAGGAGUGAGCAGGUCAGCAUUUCCUUACCCUCAGUACAUGAGCUCUCUCCCUUUUCAGUUCUAGGGUUCUCUUGGCCCCAGCCCCACAGUUCCUGGUUGGUGCCCCUCCCACAGUGCCGUUAUUUAAAAUAGUGCUUACCCUUGGAGGUAAUGUUAACUGGAACAAGAUGCAGGACUGAGUGCUUCUCUAAGGAAAGAAGGAGGAAACAGCAGUGUUGACCUGCCCUGGAGUCCACCCUCACCUCAGCUCUGCUCCGCAUCCCUCGUGCUCCUGGGUCACCGCCAACCGCACUGAAACCCCAGGGCUCACUCACUCUUGUGCUUCUGGCUUAGGCUGCCUCAGACUUUCAAUGCAGUUGAAGAUGAACUUGAAUUCCUCAUGCUGCCUUCCAAGUGCUGAGAUUAUGGCAUGUCCAACCUGCAGCCAUCAGAGGGCCCCAUGCAUCUCAGGGUGCUAUGGACAUGGCCCAAUGUAUCUGCAGAGGACAUCAUGUCACAGUAUCAGAAGAUCAGGUACCCCACAUGUAUAGAGCGCUUUUCCACCCCCACCUCACUGAAACUCUUUAACAACCUUCCGCCUCAUCAGACUCUUGGGAAAGCCUGGCCUUGCAUGGGUCCUGAGCCUGCCUCUACCACACAAUUAAGCUUUGAGGCCUACUAAGGCCUAAAUGCUACUACCAGGGGCAAGGAGUCCCUGACUCCACUGUAAAAUCGUCUUCCUGUGUGGUGCCAUGUAUCUUGGGCUACCUUACCAUCAUUCUUGUCAUCUACCACUGUAAUUACACAUUUACAGACUGCC
ensembl:antisense Tnfsf13os tumor necrosis factor (ligand) superfamily, member 13, opposite strand